CUGUCACGACGCCACCACCAUUUUCCUCCUCGCCGCAGGCAGUCCAACCAUCUCUCUCAGCUUCAUGUUCCUCUUUCCCUUCUUAGAUUGACGCCUCUUCCUCUCCUGAUCAGGAUUGACUCACGACGCAUCUCCUCCACCUCCUCCCUUUGGGUAAGAAGAGGAACGAGAAAAGAGAGGUGACGAGUUGGUCUUGUUUUCUAGGGUUUCAAAAUAGUAGCGGCGGAGGGAGGCAAGAUGAAGACGACUAGAGGGAAAGGUGAUACUAAGUUCCACUAAUCAAGACGAUCAAAUCGUACCUUUUAUUUCUAAAUUCUAAAUUUACAGGAACCUUACCGCUGCCCUCUUUCCUCUCUCCCUCUUCAUCAAAUUCUAAGUUUUCGAUCUUCUUUCUUUCGAGGAUCUCGACAUCUCGUCACGGAGGAGACCAGAAAAGCGAAGCCCAAGGCUGGCACUUCCCUUUCCCGAGCCACCGUCAGUGUAAGUUCCCACCUCUCGAGCCGCCGUCACUUCCCUUUCCCGAGCAGCUCAAUCGGCCAAAGCAUGCCCAGUCUCCGACACCACCCACCGCGAUCCUCGCUGCCUCAGCGCCAUCAUCUCCGGCCUCGCCCUCGACGGUCGCCUGCUGGAAGCUCUUCGCCUCUUCAAAUGGUUCCAGACCUCCGCCCUCGACCCCGACGAGUUCACCCUCUCCAAUGCGCUCUCGUUCUCCGCCAAUCUCAGCGCGCUGGACCAGGGAAGGCAGAUCCAAGCUCUCGUCUUCAAGAAGAAUCUACCCAUGGACGUCGCCGCCACCAACUCGCUCAUCAAUCUCUACUUCAAGUGCGGCAGCAUCGCCGACGCGGAGAAGGUGUUCGACGGUGCCAUCUACCAGGCCAGAUAUGGUUGAAGUUGUGAACAUACUAGAGAUGAUCAGAUGCCCUCAAGAUAAUCCGGAAGAGGAGCUUUCUUGACGGUUUGGUCCACAAUCUCUGCGACAUAAACCAGUUAUAUGGUAGAUACCUAGAAUGAUGAACUAGCAUGGUAGUUGGAUUUGGUUUGCACGAAAUGAAAGUAGAAAAAAAGGCCUGGCUGCUACAGAAUAGCUUGACUAACAAUUUGCAAGCCAGAAAUCCUUGUGAAAGUUAAUCGAGGCAAGUCUCCAUAGAAGAAGGAGAAGGUAAAGCGCAAGAGCUCGGUGUCAUGUUUAUCAAAACAAGCGCAAAAGCUGGCUUCAAUAUAAAGGCUCUCUUUCGAAAGAUUGCGGCUGCCUUGCCCGGGAUGGAAACCUUUCUCCUCCAUGUUGCUUAGAUUUAUGAGGAAAGUGAAAGUGAGGAUGAUGGUCUUGACAUGGGUGAUGAUGAUGAUGUUGAGGAACUUGAAAAUGAAUCAGAGGCUGUUAGGAAAGAACCAACCAUUGAGAAACCUGCUCCUGUUUCAGCAUCAUUUGUUGUUUGCCUAUUGAAAAUUAAUGUCUUGGACGGAAUGAUGGUCUUGACAUAUGGUGGAUUUAUGUGUUU